rnacentral:rRNA from 1 species
CCAGAGCCUGAAUCAGUGUGUGUGUUAGUGGAAGCGUCUGGAAAGGCGCGCGAUACAGGGUGACAGCCCCGUACACAAAAAUGCACAUGCUGUGAGCUCGAUGAGUAGGGCGGGACACGUGGUAUCCUGUCUGAAUAUGGGGGGACCAUCCUCCAAGGCUAAAUACUCCUGACUGACCGAUAGUGAACCAGUACCGUGAGGGAAAGGCGAAAAGAACCCCGGCGAGGGGAGUGAAAAAGAACCUGAAACCGUGUACGUACAAGCAGUGGGAGCACAGAGCAAUCUGUGUGACUGCGUACCUUUUGUAUAAUGGGUCAGCGACUUAUAUUCUGUAGCAAGGUUAACCGAAUAGGGGAGCCGAAGGGAAACCGAGUCUUAACUGGGCGUUAAGUUGCAGGGUAUAGACCCGAAACCCGGUGAUCUAGCCAUGGGCAGGUUGAAGGUUGGGUAACACUAACUGGAGGACCGAACCGACUAAUGUUGAAAAAUUAGCGGAUGACUUGUGGCUGGGGGUGAAAGGCCAAUCAAACCGGGAGAUAGCUGGUUCUCCCCGAAAGCUAUUUAGGUAGCGCCUCGUGAAUUCAUCUCCGGGGGUAGAGCACUGUUUCGGCAAGGGGGUCAUCCCGACUUACCAACCCGAUGCAAACUGCGAAUACCGGAGAAUGUUAUCACGGGAGACACACGGCGGGUGCUAACGUCCGUCGUGAAGAGGGAAACAACCCAGACCGCCAGCUAAGGUCCCAAAGUCAUGGUUAAGUGGGAAACGAUGUGGGAAGGCCCAGACAGCCAGGAUGUUGGCUUAGAAGCAGCCAUCAUUUAAAGAAAGCGUAAUAGCUCACUGGUCGAGUCGGCCUGCGCGGAAGAUGUAACGGGGCUAAACCAUG